AUGAACGCUGGCGGCGUGCCUAAUACAUGCAAGUCGAGCGAACGGACGAGAAGCUUGCUUCUCUGAUGUUAGCGGCGGACGGGUGAGUAACACGUGGAUAACCUACCUAUAAGACUGGGAUAACUUCGGGAAACCGGAGCUAAUACCGGAUGAUAUUUUGAACCGCAUGGUUCAAAAGUGAAAGACGGUCUUGCUGUCACUUAUAGAUGGAUCCGCGCUGCAUUAGCUAGUUGGUAAGGUAACGGCUUACCAAGGCAACGAUGCAUAGCCGACCUGAGAGGGUGAUCGGCCACACUGGAACUGAGACACGGUCCAGACUCCUACGGGAGGCAGCAGUAGGGAAUCUUCCGCAAUGGGCGAAAGCCUGACGGAGCAACGCCGCGUGAGUGAUGAAGGUCUUCGGAUCGUAAAACUCUGUUAUUAGGGAAGAACAUAUGUGUAAGUAACUGUGCACGUCUUGACGGUACCUAAUCAGAAAGCCACGGCUAACUACGUG
rnacentral:rRNA from 1 species